rnacentral:rRNA from 1 species
ACGAACGCUGGCGGCGUGCCUAAUACAUGCAAGUUGAGCGCUGAAGGUUGGUACUUGUACCGACUGGAUGAGCAGCGAACGGGUGAGUAACGCGUGGGGAAUCUGCCUUUGAGCGGGGGACAACAUUUGGAAACGAAUGCUAAUACCGCAUAAAAACUUUAAACACAAGUUUUAAGUUUGAAAGAUGCAAUUGCAUCACUCAAAGAUGAUCCCGCGUUGUAUUAGCUAGUUGGUGAGGUAAAGGCUCACCAAGGCGAUGAUACAUAGCCGACCUGAGAGGGUGAUCGGCCACCUUGGGACUGAGACACGGCCCAAACUCCUACGGGAGGCAGCAGUAGGGAAUCUUCGGCAAUGGACGAAAGUCUGACCGAGCAACGCCGCGUGAGUGAAGAAGGUUUUCGGAUCGUAAAACUCUGUUGGUAGAGAAGAACGUUGGUGAGAGUGGAAAGCUCAUCAAGUGACGGUAACUACCCAGAAAGGGACGGCUAACUACGUG